UGUCACUCACCCACCCACCCACCAAGGCUGUGAAAACCAGGACAGCAUCUCACAAAGGGGGCCUGAUGUUGAAUGAAUGUGUUUUCAUUUCAACUGUCAACUUAAAGAGAAACACAAAGGAAGUAACGGUACAGGUAGGAAGUAGCUAUUGCAAAAGUUACCCAGGUUAAUGGAACGUUGGGAGCUAACCAUCUGUUGGUGUGAAGAGAACAGCAUUCCCUACUUCUUUAGGAGGCAGAGCAUUAGCCAGGCCCUGUGUAGAAAGCUUUUCAGGAGAGGGUAAAAAGAUACCAACACACCAUCCCAUUUUGAGUGUAAGAAAGAAUAGCAGGAAGCCUGAGAAAUUGCUGGAAGGGCUGGGGGGUGGGGACGGAGGGCGGGGGUGGGGGUGGGGGCAGGCACAAAGACCAGGAAGUAGGAGACAAAAUCCCAGGUCUGUUUGGGGGUGGGGAAGGUGUGAGGAAAGGAACCGGUGACCUCAGGGCCCCUUCAUCCCACCUCCCCAGAGUCCCAACGAAGCUGGCUGUCCUUGCGCCUCUAGGCUGGGGUCCUGGCUGCUGAUUCAUUUUGAGACCAGUGCCAUGAAUUAACAGCCAGUCCCUCUGCUUCUCUCACCCAGGCCUGCCCGUCCUGGAAGCCAAUGACCUGGUUGAUAAAGGCAGUCCCUUCUACUAUGGUAAGAGCUGAUAUCCCUUGCCCCCCACCCCUACCCUUGCCUAUCCUGGACCUCUUUGCUAGGGGUUGGUGAGGGGUGAUGUGGAGCCCAGUGUAGACAGAAAGGGGCUUGAGGGAACAGGGAAGGAGGGGCAGGAUGGGGCUGAGACUGGGGAUUAAAGAACCAGAGUCGUCGUCAUCGUCGUCAUCGACCAGAAGAGUGACAGGCCGACUCAUAACAUGGUCUUUGGGAGAACUUCAUUCCAGCAAGGAGGUAAGGUGCCCACAGGAUGUUUAGGAAGACUUCCGGGGAAAGGGGCUAGAGGCACCUGGCUAAUCUCCUUUCUUCAACUCACUCUCUCUUGCCUUCCCCAGGACCAGCUCCUUGCUGCCUGACAACGCCCCAAGCAGGUUUCCGCUCCCUCUGCCUGGCACUGUCCCCCAACACAGUCCUCAUGUGCUCCAGGUCUCAGCUCAAAUGCCACCUUUCAGAAAAGCCUUCCUGGAUCAUUCUUCAAAGCCCAUUCUUUUUCUGUGCUCUUCUGCUUGUUUUUUCUUCCUAUCACUUGUUCCUAUCACAUAUUAGAUGAUGUACUUACUGGCUUGUCUUUCUUGUUGCCUGGAAUACUGGGAAGGCCUGCAGCUGGGCGGGGUGAUCUGUGCGGCGCUCCUGUGCAUCGCUGGAAUCUUGUUCGCCCUGAGUGGCAAAUGCAAAUGCAAGCAAGAUCAUAAGCACAGGUGAGACAGGGCCCUGUUGUGUGCACCUUGAGCAGAGCAGAGCUAUUUGGCGGUAAAGCCCUACAAUUUGGAGAAAGAGGACAGCCCCCGGGCUGUCCUUGGGCUUGCAGUGGGAUUUGUCAUUCACAGAUCAUCAACCCUGAAGGGCCCCAAAUCAGGGAAAGCUCUGACCCUUCGUAUUGUGUAAAGUGGCACCAGGAAUCUUGGCGGGGGAAAAGGACAGAGGCUUGAGGAUGCUAAUCUGACAUGUUCCUUUCUCAGCUCCUUACCCGAGAAAGCUGUUCCACUCAUCACUCCAGGCUCUGCCAGUACCUGCUGAGCACAGGACCGGCUUCACGGCACUUCCUGCACCAGCUCCCAUACUGUCCCCUCCCCCUUGGGGGACUUUACCCUUCAUGAUGGCCUUUCUCUCUGAGGGUGGGCCCUUAGGCUCCCUUAUGCUCAGGAGGCUGUCCAGAGCUUAUUUCUAAAUUAAACUUUUCUCCUCCCUCC